ACCUGGGUGGCUCAGUUGGUUAAACAUCUGACUUUGGCUCAGGUCAUGAUCUCGCGGUGUGUGAGUUCAAAACUCACCUUGGGCU
rnacentral:tRNA from 1 species